rnacentral:rRNA from 1 species
UGGGGGGACCAUCCUCCAAGCCUAAGUACUCCUUAUCGACCGAUAGUGAACAAGUACCGUGAGGGAAAGGUGAAAAGCACCCCGACGAGGGGAGUGAAACAGUACCUGAAACCGAACGCCUACAAUCAGUCGGAGCCCCCUUGCGGGGUGACGGCGUACCUUUUGUAUAAUGGGUCAUCGACUUGGUCUAUCUAGCAAGCUUAAGCCGUUAGGUGUAGGCGCAGCGAAAGCGAGUCUGAAUAGGGCGCAUGAGUUAGAUGGAUCAGACCCGAAACCGAGUGAUCUAGGCAUGGCCAGGUUGAAGGUUGGGUAACACCAACUGGAGGACCGAACCCACAUCCGUUGAAAAGGAUCGGGAUGAGCUGUGCCUAGGGGUGAAAGGCCAAUCAAACUCGGAGAUAGCUGGUUCUCUGCGAAAUCUAUUUAGGUAGAGCGUCAUCCGAAUACCCCCGGGGGUAGAGCACUGGAUGGGUAAUGGGGCCCCACAGGCUUACUGAUCCUAACCAAACUCCGAAUACCGGGGAGUACUAGAUGGCAGACACACAGCGGAUGCUAACGUCCGUUGUGGAGAGGGAAACAACCCUGACCUACAGCUAAGGCCCCCAAUUCAUGGCUAAGUGGGAAAGCAGGUGGGACGACCAAAACAACCAGGAGGUUGGCUUAGAAGCAGCCAUCCUUUAAAGAUAGCGUAACAGCUCACUGGUCUAAAUAAGUUGUCCUGCGGCGAAGAUGUAACGGGGCUCAAGCCAUGAGCCGAAGCUUAGGAUGCACAUAGUGCAUGGUAGCAGAGCGUAGUGU